CAGGAAUAGUGACUCGGUGAGACACACAUGAUGUGCUAUAGUUGUUGUAAAAGCAGUCACAGGGAAGCAGAGACAGAACUAUAGGUGAAGGGACUGAGGAGUGGUUUGUAGUGUCACUCCUGAUGUGUGUGUUUUGGCCGUGGACGGCGGUGGAAUUCUCUGUAGGAGGAAAGGUCUCGAUGAACAAAUGAGCAGCAGGGUGUUAUUGCUGCCGUGACCUGAAAGUGUUUUUCAUUAAAACAUGUAAGGUAUUUAUGUUUUUCCUCAUCAGACUGGCCCUUAAUUCCCACUUUGUGUAAGUAUCUUCACCAAAAUUAUAUCUGUCUUAUAUUGUGUUGUAUUGUUUUUUUCUACAGGGAAUUGCUCAGUAAAAAUGCUAUUUGAUAUUAAACUCUGUCAGUCAUUAAUUGUCUGUAUAAUAGCACACUGAAUGGCAGUAAACAGUUGUUUAGACAGGUCUUAAGAUGAUGUGAGACAAAUUUGGUGAAGAUCAGACAACAUUUGGAGCAGGAGUAAUAAAACUGUCACUUAGAUGGAAGCAUUUCUGGCAUGUUAUUGUUACUUUUGACCAGUAGGUGAUGCUAUCAUGAAAUGUGUUGCAGGUCAUGGUCCUGACGAUGCCUACCAAGUUAAGUGACAGUGCGCGAAGUCUUUGCUGAGAUACAGCCUCACUUCCGGCUUCAAAUUAUGUCCAAACAAUGCCAGAUUUGGCAUACGCCAUCUUCAGAGUACGUCUCACAACAAUUAUCAAAAGAAUUGUGAAUAUUCAAACGGUUUGUCCGUAAGCAUGUUCGUCUCACACCUCCAGGGUCGGGGGUUUGAGUCCCACCGUGGCCCUGUGUGUGUGGAGUUUGCAUGUUCUCCCCGUGCUGCGGGGGUUUCCUCCGGGUACUCCGGUUUCCUCCCCCAGUCCAAAGACAUGCAUGGUAGGCUGAUUGGCGUGUCUAAAGUGUCCGUAGUGUAUGAAUGGGGGAAUGAGUGUGUAGGUGCCCUCUGAUGGACUGGCACCCUGUCCAGGGUGUACCCCGCCUUGUGCCCGAUGCUCCCUGGGAUAGACUCCAGGUUUCCCCGUGACCCUGAAAAGGAUAAGCGGUAUAGAAGAUGGAUGGAUGGUUUGUCCGUAACGGGCCAAUGACUCUGACAGGAAAACAGGAAGUGAGGAUGUAUCUCAGCAACAACUGUGCGCACUGACAUAAAACUUGGUAUUCAUCUUCAGGACCAUGACCUGUCUAAUACAGCAAUAAAACUAUAGCGUGACUAUGCAUCUUUAGUGCUUGGUCCCCAUAUAAAAAACGGUAUGAUUUGUAGUAAUAUAGCAGUGGAAAUGUGUGUGUGUGUGUGUGUGUGUGUGUGUGUGUGUGUGUGUGUGUGGGUUGUAAAUGCCAGUGUUUCCUGCUGAAGGAACCGACGGAUUCUCUGUGUGUUUGAUCUAAAUGGCAGCUCAGUUAAUUGGCCUGUUCAAUAAUUUAUCCUGUUCAUUGCCUCCUACUGAACGCCACAGGGUCUGAACCAUCUCUCUCUCUCUCUCUCUCACACACACACACACACACACACACACACACACACACACACACACACACACACACACACACACACACACACUCAAAACGCCCUCAAAUUGCCAUAUAUGAUAAACUUCCCUUUAAAAAGCUUAGGUGCCUGUUCCAUACUAUACUGUUAAAUACUGCUGCAUGAAGUAGAGCAAAAAAAAGGUUUAUUUGGCAUUUUACUAGUAGUUUCCUUAUCAUCCUCAUGCAUACAAUAUGUGCAUACACAUGGUUUAUUCUCAAUUCUAUGCAUAUGCACAGUUAAUAAAUGAAGUCCUCGGAGUCGAAGGUAUGGUUGGCAGCAGUGGAUUCUACUGAAGCAGAAAGGUUUGGAUUUACCAACAUGGCAUCCUUCCCAGGAGUUUGUGCCCAUUACUGGCCUACGAGUUUUCCUUAUUAACUGUGGAGAGCUUGGAGAAAAGGAUCAGUCAUCACCUUCACAGGUGGCUAGGCCUGACAUGAAGCCUGAUAAGCAUCAUUUUGUAGAGGAACAACAACCAUCUGAGGCUCUCCACGAGCAGCCUGAGUGAGGGAUUCAUGGUCACCCGUGCAAGAGAGGUGCUUCAGUACAGGGAGUCAAGUGACACAAAAGUGUUCCAGGCUGGCAACGAAGAGCGAACUGGGAGCAAGUGGAAGGCUCAGGACGCAGUGGACCAGGCUGAAUCACGACUAUGGCAGAGAGCUUUGGUGGGGACAGUGGCAUCUGGCCGAGCAGGGCUUAGUAGGUUCACGACAACCCACUACGACUGAGCCCAGGGCAAGGACACGCAAAAACUGGUCCAAGAGCAGGUGAGAGCCAGGGAUGAGGAGCUGUGUGCAAGCCAGAUGGUGGGGAUGUAUCAACAUGGUGCAUGGACAAAAUGGCAACAGACAUUAGAUCAGAAGGCAAAUGUGGGUGGACCUGGGCAAGCAGCUCUGAUUCCCAGAAAACAUUACAGAGACCACCGUGAGAUCAGACAUAGUGCUGUUCUCGGAAUCAUCAAAGCAAGGUGGUCAUGAUGAAGCUUAUGGUGCCCUAGAAGGAGAGGAUGGAUGAGGCCAAUGAAAGGAAGGGAUCCAAGUAUGCAGACUUGGUGGAAGAGUGCUGCAGAUGGGGUUGGAGAACAUGGUGUGAGCUAACAGAAGUGGACUGUAGAGGAUUGGCAGCUCAGUUCCUGUAUAAGGCCUACAGCCUCCUGGGCAUCACAUGCGUGCAAAAGAAGAAGGCCAUCUGAACCACCACAGGGGCAGCAGAGAAGACUCUAGAUGGCUGUGGAUUAAAAGGAAGGAUCCGUGGUCACAAGCUACUUAGAUAGAGUUAAUAAGAAAGAAGCGUAAACUCCUCCGUACUGAAGAUUUGGGAAAACCGACGGAAAGUUCCUCCACGCAGGAAUGUGAGAAACGCACCAACACAAACAUGCAGGAAAGCACAGAGCAAAGGUCAAAGGUCACUCACCGAGGCGGUGGGUCAGGAUAACCAGCGCUGAUCUGUGGGAUGGGGAUCGUCUCCGUGUAUGAGUCAAAGUCAAACGCGGGAGGAAAUUCAUCCACGCAGUCUGACCUCAACUCACCCGUCGAUCCUCCGAACGAAAAUCCGUCUGCAGCUGUGAGAACAAACUCGAAUAUUAUAAAACCUCAGUUAAUAAAAACCUGCACACA
ensembl:lncRNA